GUGGCUUUUCCCUAAUGUUUAUGAUUUGUCAAUCCUUUGGGCUCUUUAUGUCUUUUCAGAUCAGUGCUGAAUUCAAAAGAAUCACCACAGUUCCCCUGCAAUCCAAGCAACUGUUGCUGAAUUGGCUGAUUUGUACAAGAUGCACCAUUUCUGAGGACUUCUGGCACAGUGGCCUGCACUGUUCAAAGUUCGCAAGGUAAGACAUUCAAUUCGGAUUGUCUUUAAUGUUUUUAUUUGUGAAUUACAGCGUUUUAUCUCCUUUCUUGAAUGUGUGUGUGGCUUUCUCCUAAUGUUAAUGAUUUGAUUGUUAAAUCCUUUGGGCUCUUUAUGUCUUUUCAGAUCAGUGCUGAAUUGAAAAGAAUCACCACAGUCCCACUGCAAUGCCCUGCACUGUUCCAAGUCCACAAGGUCAUGGAUGAAGUUGCCGUAGACGAAGCAAUUGAAGACAUCACUAUUGGAAUCUGCUCUGACAGAAGAUUGGGCAUCCCACCCUUAGGACAUUGUCAGUUUUAGUGUAUGUCUGUCACACACGUGACACCCAAUCGGAAAGGACUCUUUUUUUCAGCAACUAAAAAACAGCAGUUAUUUUUGUUUCUUUAAGUGAAAUGUACCUUUUUUCUAGAGAUCUAUUUGCUUGUAUGCACUUCCAGCUCCUUGCUGGUUUAAGAAUAGUACUUGAGUGUGCAUAUGUUUUGUACAUACUGUGUUGAUUUUGACCCAAACUAAAGACAAACAAAAUAACAAAACUAGACUUAAAUAAGACUGGGUAAUAACACAAAUGUGGUCACCAAAGAGGACAACCAAAUGAAUGGUGGACUGCCAGAUGCACGCGCACAUGCAUACAUUAUACGUGCACAUGCAUACAGUAUACGCGCAUGAACGCACACACGCACACCUACUAGU